rnacentral:misc_RNA from 1 species
CUCUCUCUCUCUCUCUCUUCCUCUAUCUCUCAUCAACAUUUGCACCCACAAAACAUUUCUCUCAUUCCACUUAAACAUAACCUCGUUUUUGGAAGUGUUUUCGUUCUUUUCUCAUAUAUUCAUGUGUUUUUUUUCCCUUUUGUAAUUAUUUCCAUAAGAUGGAUAUUAAGUUCCAUCUUGGGUUGAUGAGCAGUUAUUGGUGGUGAAGAAAGCUGAAUUUAUGUUGGAUUAUUUUUUUUAAUAUACUGUAUAUAUUUAUUUAUAAUGGGAAAUUGUUGGUGUAGAUGGGAGCCUUCAGUUUACAGAGUUUCAUCAAAUGCAAAAUCAGAGUCUCCAAAAGACCAAAGCCCUUCAGGGAAACCAAUGAAUGAUAUUAGGAAGCUUCCAUCAAAUCCUGAGGAAGUAGAAGACUUGCGUCGCGAUUCAGCUGCAAAUCCAUUGAUUGCCUUUACAUAUGAUGAGCUAAAGGUAAUCACUGGAAACUUUAGGCAGGAUCGCGUUUUGGGUGGAGGAGGAUUUGGAAGUGUUUAUGAAGGAUUUAUUACUGAGGAUCUAAGGGAGGGGCUUCAGCCCCUUCCAGUUGCUGUAAAGGUCCAUGAUGGUGAUAAUAGUUAUCAAGGCCACAGAGAAUGGCUGGCAGAAGUCAACUAUUUAGGUCAAUUUAGUCACCCAAAUCUUGUGAAGCUUAUUGGGUAUUGCUGUGAAGAUGAGCACAGGCUAUUGGUCUAUGAAUACAUGGCAAGUGGGAGUUUAGAGAAACAUCUUUUUCGUAGAGUGGGUUGCACUUUGACUUGGUCAAAAAGAAUGAAGAUUGCUUUAGAUGCAGCAAAAGGACUUGCUUUUCUUCAUGGUGCAGAAAGAUCUAUCAUAUACCGUGAUUUCAAGACAUCCAACAUCCUACUAGAUGGGGACUUCAAUGCAAAGCUUUCAGACUUUGGACUGGCGAAGGAUGGACCAAUGGGAGACCAGACACAUGUGUCAACGCGGGUAAUGGGUACAUAUGGAUAUGCUGCACCUGAAUAUGUAAUGACUGGUAUGUAGGGACAAUUUGCUGAAAAUUGUUGAAUUUUACGGUGAUAAUUUAUCAAAUUUUGGAGACUCUGUGCACCUAAAUUUUUGAACGUCUUUGUUGCCAAGCAAAACAGUAAAGCAUGUUUAUUGCUGUACUGUGGUAACUGAAUAACUGUUUCAAAGUUUCAGCCUUUGUUACUAUAUGGUAUUUAAAGUAUGAAAAUCGCAAUUGUUACUGGUUCAUAUGAAGGAAAAUUAGUCACAGAAAUCUCUGAUAAAAAAUGGUGACUGAUCAUUUUUUUUUUAUAUUUUACUAGGAGAAAAAGAUCUGUCAUGUAAUGUAUAUUGUUCUUUCACCACUAAGAGUAUGUUAGAAUUAUUUGAAGUUCCUCUUGUACAUUAUUUAAUUGAACCUCUUUCACAUUAAACAAGAUGCUAGCACUUGAUAUGAAGGUAGACGUUGUAAUGCCAUUAGACCAAUUGUCUGGUGGUCUGCUGGCCCUUAAGGCAGGCAGUUAUGGUAUCCCUGCUUUUCCCUUCCCCUCCCCUGAACCAAAGGGAGAUGGAAACUGUAGAAAGGUUAAUUCUGAAAUUUUGUCUACUGUCAUGCACCUUUUUGCAAUUGUUCUAGCCCUUCUCCCUUUGUAAGGUGAUAUCAUGUUGCAUUCAACUGAUAUAAGCUGCAACAAUAUUUUCCAAACUAAGCUGUAGUUUAUCUGGACAGGGCAUUUAACCGCUCGGAGUGAUGUUUAUGGUUUUGGAGUAGUGCUGCUUGAAUUGCUUCUCGGACGGAGGGCCUUGGACAAGGGUAGACCUAGCCGAGAACACAACCUGGUUGAGUGGGCCCGACCACUUUUGAACCACAAUAAGAAGGUUCUAAGGAUCUUAGACCCUAGAAUGGAAGGGCAGUAUUCAGUUAAAACUGCAAAGAAAGUAACCAAUUUGGCAUACCAAUGCCUUAGCCAAAAUCCAAAAGGGAGACCUCUGAUGAGCCAGGUGGUUGAAUUACUUGAAGGUGUUCAGUCAAAGGAUGAAGAUGAAAUGUUUCAAACCAAUGAGAAAGGUGUUACCCUUUACGAGGAUUCAGGGCUUUCCUCUUGUACUCCAGAGACGAGAAAUCCAGAUACAGGUAAUGGAAGGCGCAAACCGGCAAAUGGAAGAAGCAACAGCAAGCCCUCAACCGAGUGUGAUCUUUAUAACCCUUGCUCCGAUUUUGCAGUCUCGAGUCCAGUGAGAAGCUAGCAUCGCAUCAUUGAACUUUUAUAAAUAUGGAUGGAAGUUGAAAUUGUAAGAAAUCUAUCAAAUAUUCACCUUAUUCCCUUUCCCUUUCUAAAACAAAAUUAUUUCAAACAAGUGCCUUCUAUAAUUACAUACAAAGUACAAUGUCUGUCUUAUUAACCAUUAGAUUUUAUAGUAUUAUAAUCUUUUUUUUUGACAAAUAGUAUUAUAAUCCUAACCAUUGAAAAAUUAUAUAUAGAUGUAUUAUUGCCGGCCCAUCAAACCAGGCUCAAAGGUUUAAAAUUCUAUUCCUAUUU